CCAGACUCCUACGGGAGGCAGCAGUGGGGAAUAUUGGGCAAUGGGCGCAAGCCUGACCCAGCAACGCCGCGUGAAGGAAGAAGGCUUUCGGGUUGUAAACUUCUUUUCUCAGGGACGAAGAAAGUGACGGUACCUGAGGAAUAAGCCACGGCUAACUACGUGCCAGCAGCCGCGGUAAUACGUAGGGAGCAAGCGUUAUCCGGAUUUACUGGGUGUAAAGGGCGCGUAGGCGGGAUGGCAAGUCAGAUGUGAAAUCCAGGGGCUCAACCCCUGAACUGCAUUUGAAACUGUCGUUCUUGAGUACUGGAGAGGUUGACGGAAUUCCUAGUGUAGCGGUGAAAUGCGUAGAUAUUAGGAGGAACACCAGUGGCGAAGGCGGCUUACUGGACAGUAACUGACGUUGAGGCUCGAAAGCGUGGGGAGCAAACAGGAUUAGAUACCCCCGUA
rnacentral:rRNA from 1 species